GUUGAGGGGAAUGUUGUCUGGUCGGAGACCUAACACCGCGAAUCAUCCAUGGAGCAGCAUGCAUGGUGGUGGAUGGUUUCGGACCAGGCUUCAUUCCCCCCAAC
rfam:Sorghum bicolor cultivar BTx623 chromosome 1, whole genome shotgun sequence.